rnacentral:rRNA from 1 species
UACGGAGGGUGCAAGCGUUGUCCGGAUUUAUUGGGUUUAAAGGGUGCGUAGGCGGCUAAUUAAGUCAGUGGUGAAAUACAGCAGCUCAACUGUUGAUGUGCCAUUGAUACUGAAUAGCUUGAGUACAGAUGAGGUAGGCGGAAUUUAUGGUGUAGCGGUGAAAUGCAUAGAUACCAUAAAGAACACCGAUUGCGAAGGCAGCUUACUAAGCUGUAACUGACGCUGAGGCACGAAAGCGUGGGGAGCGAACAGG